rnacentral:lncRNA from 1 species
CAUCAUAAGACAAAACCCUAAUCCCCUUUAGAAAAUUUAACCCUAAAUGCUCUCACACCCGAACGUCGAAUUCAGCGAAAAAGAAGGCCACCGUGAAAGCCAUGGACGAAAUCCCUUACUCGAACCUCCACACUUCCCAGGCAUUCGGGUUCUUAGUGGCCAACACCUAGGUAAAACCCUUUCUUUGACUUUUAUUUCAAAUAGAUUUGCAUAAGAAACAAGAAAUAAAUAAGAAAGGAAAAAAAUAGAAACGCAAAUACAAAGAAGAAUACCAGAAAAAAAAUAAAGUAACCUUUAGAACUUUGAGUCUGAUUCUUUUUAUUGAUUUCUCUUUUGUGUGUAUUUUGUUAUAUUCCCAAAAAAAGAUCCCCCUCUUUUACAUAUGUUUACGAAGGCUUUUAUAGCCCUUUUUUACAACGUGUUUUACGCGUUUGUAGGUACGAUUGAGCACGUCUCUAAUGUGGCGUGGUGGAUGAGCGUAAGACGUAGAAGGGUGCGCAACGUGCGGUGCCUGGAGACUGCUUCGAUUGCGACGGCUGAAGGUUGGCUGUUAGGGUUCUGCCGAAAAUGUUUUUUUUUUUUGGUUUUGGGCUAAAAAUUUGGGCUAGGGUUCAGGUGUUUUAGGAUUGGGUUUGUAUUGGGCUUGGUUGUAUUGGUUCUGAGGGUAUUUUGUUUAAAUUUAGUAUUAGUUUGGGCCCCGGGCUAAAAUUGGGCCUAACUGAUGUUUUAUCUAUUAAACUAUUAAAUCCUUUACUGAGGGCCGAAAUAUUAUUUUCUUGCUUAGAAUCUAUAUGCAUAAUAUGACUGCAGGUUUUAUCUUUAUAUAAACAAUCUGUUUCUUCCCUGUUACUUAUCUUGGUGCCUAAAACCGUCUGUUAUAUUAUUUUGUCUUAAUCACAAAGGCCUUAUGUCUCUCACUCAGACUUAAACAGGCAAAAGUAAGACAAAAUAACAGAUAUAUGGGUUUCAAGAUAAAUAACCACAGAAUUAACGAAAUUGCAAAUUAAGGAUAAAAACUUACAAGAGGUAUUAUGAUAUAAAAUUUUCCAAGAAUCGUUACUCCGGGGGACCUCUGAUACCAAUUACUGGGAAUAAAAGAUGCGGAAUAAGGAUUUUAUUAUUGUAAAAGGAAAUUUUACAAAGGAAAGAUUAUAAGGAGAGGAUGUUUACAGCGAGAAUACUGAAAGUAAAAGAAAGAUUUCUAAUUAUUUUUUCUCGAUGCCUUGUUUAGGCUUCAUCCAUUCCUAUUUAUAGCAAAAUUUCUAAACUCUAUCUAAUUUUUCUUCAAUCCCGCACAGUGUUUCUGAUAAGGAUGAAUUUAUUAUGGCUUCCACGUAUCCUUGUAUUUGUCACAUCACA